GAAGGGAACGGAGCGGCAAGAACAGUAAAACAACGUCAGAUUACGAACGUGGUCUCUAGGGGCUGUAAAAAGCCCAAAUCCUUCCCCAUCAUUUGAAACACCCUGGGUUAAGUUAGUUUCAGAGCACAGGAGCAUCCGGAGAAUAUAGACUGUGAGCUGGAACCUCGGGUGCAGCUGGGCCCUGGGCUGCGCAGCCAAGGAGAGAGGAAAGGAAUUAGUUUGCUCCCUGAUGCAGGAGCUGCUUGGGAAUUAUUCUGACCCUUGUUAUAAAUCAGGUGCUUAUCUUCUAUUUCUGCACAAGAAACAUGAAAAUCAAGAAAAGCAGAUGUGCUAUCAACCUUUUAAGUUUCAUCCUGGAAAUGAGGUUGGAAUAUUCCAUAAGGAAAUCAAAGUCAUUUUCCUACCCUCUUCUGUCUCUGUAAGAAAUGCUCUGCCUAAGUCCUUCUCUGCUCUGCACUGGCAAUUCCUCUUCUGUUUCUUUAGGUGACUCCAGGCUGAGAUCAUGUUUUUUCUCUCAACUUCAUGUGAGCCUCCCUUUCUAACCCUUCCAAGAGCAUUUUAGAACCUGUUUGCCCUGAAACCCUGAAAUCAGAGAACACUGAGGGAUUAGGUUUAAACUUGUUAAACUGAAUUAACACUCCUGCCACAUGAUUCUGGCCUGUGCCAGUCCUUUUAAUCUUGUUCAGAGUUUAGGAUAAUUUGUUUAGUAGGGCUGAUCAGCUGGAGGUUAAUUCAAUUGGACUUUGGUUAUUUAUUCAUGCCCGGAUUUGCUAAGUGUCACAGCAGAUACACGAGGUCUCUGUUACAGUUAUGAGAUGGCUUCAUUAGUGUGACGGAGAGUCCAUCUGGAUGACUUCCUUUCCUCAGUGCAAUAACUGGCUGUCAGGGCUCUCUCCAGUGGAAAAAACUCCUUAUAUAACAUCUCCCUUUCAUUUGUGUCACAAGUGUAUUGAUUACAACUUAAAAUGCACUCCUCUGUUCCAAUUGCUGGGGUUGCCAAUAAACUUUCUCAGGGAUCUCAAUAGUAUUCCAGCUCUACGUUUUCCAUUGAUACCAGAACUUAAAAGAAAAGUAGGAAUGCGUUGUAAAAGCCAUUUAUUAUUAAUAAUGUUCUUUCGUGCAACAUUUUGGUCCUUCUCACUUCAAGGUCCACUUUUCUCACAAAUUAAGUGUUACCAGUGCUGGGUUAGAACGUGGUCAGUCUUUUGCACUGUCCAGAAUUAACUAUCCAGAAAUAGAAUACAAAAAAGAGGAAAAAAAUUGCAUCCUACUGAAACCUCUGGAGGAAUUCAAGUUGGCAGAAGGUUGUUACUCGAACUGGAAUGUGGCCAGGACACCAGGAUUAAUGUUAGCACAAAAUGCCAUUUGAUUGCAAGUGUUCAGAUAACCUUGGAUGAAAGUCUUAUCUGAAAAGAGGCUCUUCUAACAGGAAGGGCUCCCUGAUGUUGGCUGGGACUUUGGUUCAGCGUUGACUCAGAGAAUUUUUGCUCUUUGCUUCAGCAGUUUUUGAAUGGGACAGCUCUUGAAUGGUAACAGAUCUCCCCUUCACAGCCUGCAGCACAGCAGAUAAUUUCCCAGAGAGAAUUCCAUGCCAUAGACUGAUGUCUCUUUUUAGAGAUGUUUCCUGAUAUAUCAUGCAAAUAUUACAAAUAGGAGCCUGAAGGGAGGCUUGCUGGGGAAGGUCCUAAAGAUUAGAAGAAAGGAAAAAUGUUCAAUGUUGAGAAGGCACUGGGACAAGCUGAGUUUCCACAUCUUCAUAAAUGUGAAGUAGCUAUUUAUGUUGUGGAGUUACUCCUGAGUGAGACUGUCCUUUGCCUCAUUCUUGCUUUAUUCUCUCUGGAUGUUUCUACUGUAGUCCUCUAAUACAUGUUAUGACUUGGGCUGGCAAAACCAGGGGAUGCCCAGACAAAGCUUUGAUGAUUAAGACCAGUGUUAAUCAAAAUUUCUUCUCUUUCUCUCAUUUUUUUUCAAUUAAAUUGUAAAUCUGUGUUGAGGACCAACCAUUAGCUUCCAAGGAGUGAGAAAUGUUCCCACAUGCUUGGCCUUCUUCAGAAAAUCCUGUCACAGCUAAACACCGUGAAAUAUGGUUUCCAACAGAACAGUGUUCCCAAAACCAGCUGGGACCAGCUUUACAACUCAGCAUUCUUUGCAGAAGUUUAUUUCCUGUUGACUUGGAAGGCACGUUAGAGCUUUGGAGAGGAGUUUCUACUUAUCUACAUAACAAUGCAAGAUGAGUCCUACAGCAUCAGC